rnacentral:rRNA from 1 species
UGGGGAAUUUUGGACAAUGGGCGAAAGCCUGAUCCAGCAAUGCCGCGUGUGUGAAGAAGGCCUUCGGGUUGUAAAGCACUUUUGUCCGGAAAGAAAUCCUUGGCUCUAAUACAGUCGGGGGAUGACGGUACCGGAAGAAUAAGCACCGGCUAACUACGUGCCAGCAGCCGCGGUAAUACGUAGGGUGCAAGCGUUAAUCGGAAUUACUGGGCGUAAAGCGUGCGCAGGCGGUUUGCUAAGACCGAUGUGAAAUCCCCGGGCUCAACCUGGGAACUGCAUUGGUGACUGGCAGGCUAGAGUAUGGCAGAGGGGGGUAGAAUUCCACGUGUAGCAGUGAAAUGCGUAGAGAUGUGGAGGAAUACCGAUGGCGAAGGCAGCCCCCUGGGCCAAUACUGACGCUCAUGCACGAAAGCGUGGGGAGCAAACAGGAUUAGAUACCCUGGUAGUCCACGCCCUAAACGAUGUCAACUAGUUGUUGGGGAUUCAUUUCCUUAGUAACGUAGCUAACGCGUGAAGUUGACGGCCUGGGGAGUACGGUCGCAAGAUUAAAACUCAAAUGAAUUGACGGGGUCAUAGCUGUUUCCU